rnacentral:rRNA from 1 species
AUCGGAGCUGUGAAACCGCAAGUCGAACGAGAACCCACUUCGGUGGGGGACAGUGGCGAAAGGGCGAGGAAUACGAUCGAAUGUGCCCCGAGGUGGGGGAUAGCGUCGGGAAACUGACGGUAAUACCCCAUGUGCUCUACGGAGGAAAGGUUUACCGCCUUGGGAGCGGCGAUCGUCCUAUCAGGUUGUUGGUGGGGUAAAGGCCUACCAAGCCGAAGACGGGUAGCGGGUGUGAGAGCAUGACCCGCCGCAUCGGGACUGAGACACUGCCCGGACUCCUACGGGAGGCUGCAGUAACGAAUCUUCCGCAAUGGGCGAAAGCCUGACGGAGCAAUGCCGCGUGUGGGAUGAAGCAUCUUCGAUGUGUAAACCACUGUCAGGGUCUAGGAACAAUGACCAGACCCAGAGGAAGGGCCGGCUAAUUCCGUGCCAGCAGCCGCGGUAAUACGGAAGGCCCGAGCGUUAAUCGGAAUCACUGGGCUUAAAGGGUGCGCAGGCGGACCAGCAAGCAUGUUGUGAAAUCCCACGGCUCAACCGUGGAACUGCGAUGUGAACUGCUGGUCUUGAGGCAGGUAGGGGUCAGUAGAACCAUGGGUGGAACGGUGAAAUGUGUAGAUAUCCAUGGGAACGCCAAUGGCGAAGGCAGCUGACUGGGCCUGUCCUGACGCUCAGGCACGAAAGCGUGGGGAGCGAACGGGAUUAGAUACCCCGGUAGUCCACGCCGUAAACGAUGCACACUAGGUCGGGGAGGCUUUCACGCCCUCCCGGCCGAAGGAAAACCGUUAAGUGUGCCGCCUGGGGAGUACGGUCGCAAGGCUAAAACUCAAAGGAAUUGACGGGGGCUCACACAAGCGGUGGAGCAUGUUGCUUAAUUCGAGGCAACGCGAAGAACCUUACCUGGGCUUGACAUGUAUGGAUUAGCUCUUGGAAACAAGAGUGACGCCCUUGGGUGGAACAUACACAGGUGCUGCAUGGCUGUCGUCAGCUCGUGCUGUGAAGUGUCGGGUUAAGUCCCUUAACGAGCGCAACCCCUAUCGUUAGUUACUAACGCGUUAUGGCGAGGACUCUAGCGAGACUGCCGGUGUCAAACCGGAGGAAGGUGGGGAUGACGUCAAGUCAUCAUGGCCCUUACGCGCAGGGCUACACACGUGCUACAAUGGCGGUGACAGUGAGUUAAUCUCUAAAAACCGUCUCAGUUCGAAUUGGGGUCUGCAACUCGACCCCAUGAAGUCGGAAUCGCUAGUAAUCGUGGAUCAGCAUGCCACGGUGAAUACGUUCCCGGGCCUU